GCGCAUGAUGACGUAGAGGACGGUUGCCAGCGCCGCCAUCUUCACGCCGUCAAACAUGGCCGGCAGCUCCGAGCCCAGCGCCGUUAUGCCUUCGCCGCCGCCGCCAUCCGCCAGCGAGGCCAUCGUAGACGCUGGAGACAACACGUGAGCGGACUUGUUGAACAUUCAGCAGGCAGAUCAAUUACAUGAGAAGCGCUCCGGUCUCGGCUUCUCCGUCGUCUUUCUUUAUUCCGUCACUAAUGUCAACGUCACGGGCCUUGAACACAACACUUGACUUUAGCGAAGAAGGCGCAUUUUAAAGGACGUUUUUUUUCCCGUGGCUUUCUUCAGCGUGUGUCCCGAUUCAACUCGGUUCCACCCUCACUUGUUGCUUGUGUUUCGAGACCAGUGGCGACCAGGUCCGGAUGCGUUCAAGCCCACGCAAAAGAAGAAAGACGAAGAGAAAAAAAAACUGCGAGCUCGGAGUUUUCCCCGCCCACGCUUCCAGCUAAA